rnacentral:rRNA from 1 species
UAAGACCGAAGUGCAACCAAGCUGUCAUAAGCUCAAGAUGUACCUAAGACCUCCUUCCCGAUCUUAGUUCCCCCGAUUAAUUUAAUCCCACGAAAGCUAAGGUACAAACUGGGAUUAGAUACCCCACUAUGCUUAGCCCUAAAUCUUGAUGCUUUUUUCUCAUACUGAAGCAUCCGCCCGAGAACUACGAGCACAAACGCUUAAAACUCUAAGGACUUGGCGGUGCCCUAAACCCACCUAGAGGAGCCUGUUCUAUAAUCGAUAACCCACGUUACCACCCGACCGUCCCUUGCCAUAAAACAGCCUACAUACCGCCGUCGCCAGCUCGCCUCCUAUGAGAGUUUAACAGCGAACACAAUAGCCCAAACCCGCUAAUAAGACAGGUCGAGGUAUAGCCCACGGGACGGAAGAAAUGGGCUACAUUUUCUAACAGUAGACAACCUCACGGAAGGGGGUGUGAAAUCGCCCCCCGAAGGCGGAUUUAGUAGUAAAGUGGGACAAUAUAUGCCCCCUUUAAACUGGCUCUGGGCACGUACAUACCGCCCGUCACCCUCC